GCAGCACGGGGGCAACCCUGGUGGCGAGUGGCGAACGGGUGAGUAACAUAUCAGAACGUGCCCUGGAGUGGGGGAUAACUAGUCGAAAGAUUAGCUAAUACCGCAUACGAUCUACGGAUGAAAGUGGGGGAUCGCAAGACCUCAUGCUCGUGGAGCGGCCGAUAUCUGAUUAGCUAGUUGGUGGGGUAAAGGCCUACCAAGGCAUCGAUCAGUAGCUGGUCUGAGAGGACGACCAGCCACACUGGGACUGAGACACGGCCCAGACUCCUACGGGAGGCAGCAGUGGGGAAUUUUGGACAAUGGGCGCAAGCCUGAUCCAGCAAUGCCGCGUGAGUGAAGAAGGCCUUCGGGUUGUAAAGCUCUUUUGUCAGGGAAGAAACGGUUCGGGUUAAUACCUUGGGCUAAUGACGGUACCUGAAGAAUAAGCACCGGCUAACUACGUGCCAGCAGCCGCGGUAAUACGUAGGGUGCAAGCGUUAAUCGGAAUUACUGGGCGUAAAGCGUGCGCAGGCGGUUGUGCAAGACAGAUGUGAAAUCCCCGGGCUCAACCUGGGAAUUGCAUUUGUGACUGUACGGCUAGAGUGUGUCAGAGGGGGGUAGAAUUCCACGUGUAGCAGUGAAAUGCGUAGAGAUGUGGAGGAAUACCGAUGGCGAAGGCAGCCCCCUGNGAUAACACUGACGCUCAUGCACGAAAGCGUGNGGAGCAAACAGGAUUAGAUACCCUGGUAGUCCACGCCCUAAACGAUGUCUACUAGUUGUCGGGUCUUUAUUGACUUGGUAACGCAGCUNACGCGUGAAGUAGACCGCCUGGGGAGUACGGUCGCAAGAUUAAAACUCAAAGGAAUUGACGGGGACCCGCACAAGCGGUGGNUGAUGUGGAUUAAUUCGAUGCAACGCGAAAAANCUUACCUACCCUUGACAUGGUCGGAAGCCUCGAGAGAUUGAGGCGUGCUCGAAAG
rnacentral:rRNA from 1 species